UACGGGGGGGGCAAGCGUUGUUCGGAAUUACUGGGCGUAAAGGGCUCGUAGGCGGCCAACUAAGUCGGACGUGAAAUCCCUCGGCUUAACCGGGGAACUGCGUCCGAUACUGGAUGGCUUGAGUUUGGGAGAGGGAUGCGGAAUUCCAGGUGUAGCGGUGAAAUGCGUAGAUAUCAGGAGGAACACCGGUGGCGAAGGCGGGUCUCUGGGCCGAUACUGACGCUGGAGGAGCGAAAGCGUGGGGAGCGAACAGG
rnacentral:rRNA from 1 species